GGUGUCUGUCGAUGAGACGUGGGAUCCAUCGUUUCAUGACACGUCGACGCUUGAUAAUUCAAUAACAUUGACUCACAGUAAACAAGGACACGAGAAUGUCCGUAAAUCUGAUGAGGAAAACGAAGCAGCCGAACACACGAGAAGAGAAGAUGCACAUGAAGAUGCUACAGACGAACCGGAUGGCAACAGAGAGGCGACAGGGUCAAGUGAGGAGACUGAAAAGAGGCCUGAUGAUGUGACUGUUGGGCAAGUGGAGGAUGUAUUGAUGGUUAGAGGUGAGAAUUAGGAUGAUGGUCAAUUGGAAUUUCGCCCAUCUGUAGACGUGAGUGAUAAGAAGCAGACGAAAAGUGUUGAACACGGAUUGGAGCAGCACACAGAUGCACAGAUGCCCAAAAACGAUCGAUUACUGUUGAGUUAGAGGAGCAAGGCACACACUGAGCAUCAGACAAGAGGAUUAGUUUGAACGUGGGCCCAGUACAUUGACUCGAUGGCAUCACCCUCUUCAACCCUCUCCUGUCCAACUGCGGCAGUUUUGCAAGCUCCUCAGUUUGUUAAAGUAGUUUGUACAGAGAGUGAAAGGCACGACCUCGGGAGUUUACGUUGAAAGACCAGGAUACAUCAGGGUUCUUAAGAUCAGACAGACUGGGAAGAUAAGAAAGCUGGUGUGAUGACUAGAGAACUACAGAGGUUGCUUGCAAGGAACAAUGUGGUUUUUAUUAUGAUAUCGAGGUCAUCAUCCUCAUUCUGCACUUUCUCGUGCACGAUUUUUGUUUCUCUUGGUGUCUCCACCUCUUCGACAUGCAUCAUGGAUGUCUUACUUUCUGUUUCUAUUUUACUUUCUUCAUCCGUUGUGUGCAAACUCCUCACACAUUCUUCACUGGCUGUAUGAUUGUCGGUCUCCCUAAAGAUGUUGGUAAUGGCUACAUCAUUGCUCGUCACCUCACCAAUUAACAAAUAUUUUGUGUGAGCCAAUCGUUGCUGGAGUGUGGCAAAGGAACGUCUAUGGAAGUGAUGGUUGCAUCCAAGUGGUAGUGGACUGGACAUCGACAUGUCAAUGAGUUGCAGUGAGAGAUGCAGUCGGUCUGUCCACAUGCUGACGGUGGUGCUAGUGUAUGACGUCUUCUAGUGCAAUCUCGAGAUACACUGGGCAGUUUGCUGAUGUAGCAAAGGAGUAGGACACGCCACGCCUACAUAUGAGAUAUAUGAGAUGUAAACAUGUGGAGUCAUAUUAUAUCUACAUUAGAGUUUCUGGAAUGAAAAGAAUCGAUCUGUACAAUUUUGUACAUUGAAGUGAAUGUAGAAAUUAUAGUAACAAUGAUAUUUACUAUUGCUACAGUGUACCAUACUGUAUGUGAAUAAUUUAUGUUUCUAAUUAAAUUAGAUGACAUCUAU